rnacentral:rRNA from 1 species
CUACGGGGUGCACCAGUGAGGAAUAUUGCGCAAUGGGGGAAACCCUGACGCAGCGACGCCGCGUGGAUGAUGAAGGCCUUCGGGUCGUAAAAUCCUGUCAGAAGGAAAGAAGUGUAUGGUAGCUAAUAUCUGCCAUAUUUGACGGUACCUUCAAAGGAAGCACCGGUUAACUCCGUGCCAGCAGCCGCGGUAAUACGGAGGGUGCAAGCGUUGUUCGGAAUUACUGGGCGUAAAGCGCGCGUAGGCGGUUUUAUAAGUCAGAUGUGAAAGUCCACGGCUCAACCAUGGAAGUGCAUUUGAAACUGUAAGACUUGAGUAUUGGAGGGGGUAGUGGAAUUCCCGGUGUAGAGGUGAAAUUCGUAGAUAUCGGGAGGAAUACCGGUGGCGAAGGCGACUACCUGGCCAAAUACUGACGCUGAGGUGCGAAAGCGUGGGGAGCAAACAGGAUUAGAUACCCUCGUAGUC